rnacentral:misc_RNA from 1 species
GAUGAAGAACGUAGUGAAAUGCGAUAAGUAAUGUGAAUUGCAGAAUUCAGUGAAUCAUCGAAUCUUUGAACGCACAUUGCGCCCCUUGGUAUUCCAUGGGGCAUGCCUGUUCGAGCGUCAUCUGUACCUUCAAGCUCUGCUUGGUGUUGGGUGUUUGUCCCGCUUUUUGCGUGGACUCGCCUCAAAGCAAUUGGCAGCCGGCGUACUAGCCUGGGAGCGCAGCACAUUUUGCGCAUCUCGACUGGAACGCUUGCGUCCAUUAAGCCUACACUUUUGCUCUUGACCUCGGAUCAGGUAGGGAUACCCGCUGAACUUAAGCAUAUCAAUAAGCGGAGGA